rnacentral:rRNA from 1 species
UACGUAGGGUGCAGGCGUUAAUCGGAAUUACUGGGCGUAAAGCGUGCGCAGGCGGUUCGUUGUGUCGGUGGUGAAAUCCCCGGGCUUAACCUGGGAAUGGCCAUGGAAACUGGCGAACUGGAGUGCGGCAGAGGGGGGUGGAAUUCCGCGUGUAGCAGUGAAAUGCGUAGAGAUGCGGAGGAACACCGAUGGCGAAGGCAGCCCCCUGGGCUAGCACUGACGCUCAGGCACGAAAGCGUGGGGAGCAAACAGG